rnacentral:misc_RNA from 1 species
CCGAGUUUACACUCAUAACCCUUUGUGAACAUUAUAACUUGUUGCUUCGGCGGCUUCUUCUUCGGGAGCCCGCCGGCGUUUCAGUAUCUCUGUUUGUACCCGACGAUACAUCUGAGUGUUCUUAGCGAACUAUAA